GACGAACGCUGGCGGCGUGCCUAAUACAUGCCAGUAGAACGCACAGUUUAUACCGUAGCUUGCUACACCAUAAACUGUGAGUUGCGAACGGGUGAGUAACGCGUAGGUAACCUGCCUGGUAGCGGGGGAUAGCUAUUGGAAACGAUAGCUAAUACCGCAUAAUAUUAAUUAUUGCAUGAUAAUUGAUUGAAAGAUGCAAUUGCAUCACUACCAGAUGGACCUGCGUUGUAUUAGCUAGUAGGUGAGGUAACGGCUCACCUAGGCGACGAUACAUAGCCGACCUGAGAGGGUGAUCGGCCACACUGGGACUGAGACACGGCCCAGACUCCUACGGGAGGCAGCAGUAGGGAAUCUUCGGCAAUGGACGAAAGUCUGACCGAGCAACGCCGCGUGAGUGAAGAAGGUUUUCGGAUCGUAAAGCUCUGUUGUAAGAGAAGAACGGGCGUGAGAGUGGAAAGUUCACACUGUGACGGUAUCUUACCAGAAAGGGACGGCUAACUACGUG
rnacentral:rRNA from 1 species